CCUAUGAGUUGUGAAGAUGUCAUCACCUAUGUUCUUGCAGGAUUAAGCCACGAAUAUGACAGCUUUGUUGCCUCAAUCUCGGCUCGCACUAAAAAGGUCACAAUUGACGAAAUUUACUCGUUUUUGCUUACCACUGAAG